GUGAAGCCGGGAAGCCCUGGGGUUGCACAGGGCUUUAACACACACCUUUUACCGUAGUGGAGCUUUUCCUAGAAAAUUGCAGGUUACAGCUGGGAAGGCAGAAGGGCCUUAAGGAGAUGCAGCUAACUGUGCUGGAAGUUUUCCUUCCUAGCUGGAGAGAGGCUGAAGCAGGUGCCUGGAUGAGGAGUCGUUUCUGUUCACCUGUCCCCAUAAAUAUCCCUGGCUUUGGAUCCUGUCUCACUGGAGACCAGAAGUUAAAACUCCAGGAGGGCACCAGGAGGGGAUCUGGUGAGACAGUUCUCAUCCUCCAGACCUUGACAGUCACUGUCACUAUCCUCAAAUGUACCAGAGGAAGCCGAAACAGAGAUCGUGCCCUUUUCUUGCACACUCUUCAGAAGAGCUGAUGACCCAUCACGUGGACUUCUUGGCACAUACAGGAACUGGGUACCUCACAUGGCUGGGAUUGUGACCAAAGGAGAAAAGAAGAAGGAAGCAUAAUGUCAAAAGCCAGGGCUGGAACCAGUUACGAGCGCCCGGCUUGGGGAAGGACAUUACCAAAUAUUUGCUGAAUAGCUACUGAAUGUUUAUCUUAGAUAAACACUUUGGAGUUUUAUGGUAAGCCCAUUGUGAGCCUUACAAUUCUACUGGGCAAAUAUUUCUAAGUAUUUUAUAAAUUAAGCAUAUCGGUUUCUACACAACACAUAAAAGCAUCGCUUUUUGCUGA